ensembl:lncRNA
GCAAUUGAACUGAGUUUUAUUAACCCGACUGCAGGAAAAACAACAAUAACAUAGUACAUAUUAGAAGAUUAUAAACUGACUGAAUAGGUCUUCAAAAUAUAACAUAUAACUUGUGUGGCAUUCAAUAUCUGGCCCACACCUCUUUCAAGAUCUCCACAUGGAGAAGCACAUGAAGCACACAGGCUCUGGUUUCCCAGCAACAUACAACACCCCUAUACAGUGUAUCCGGAAAGUAUUCACAGCACUUCACUUUUUCCACAUUUUGUUAUGUUACAAACUUGUUCCAAAAUGAAUUAAAUUAUUUUCCACAAAAUUCUAAAAACAAUACCAUAAUGACAAUGUUAAAGAAGUGUGUUUGAAAUCUUUGCUUAUUUAUAAAUCACAUGUACAUAAGUAUUCACAGCCUUUGCCAUGACACUCAAAAUUGACCUCAGGUGCAUCCUGUUUCCACUGAUCAUCCUUGAGAUGUUUCUACAACUUGAUUGGAGUCCACCUGUAAUAAAUUCAGUUGAUUGGACAUGAUUUGGAAAGUAAAACACCUGUCUAUAUAAGGUCCCACAGGUAACAAUGCAUGUCAGAGCACAAACCAAGCCAUGAAGUCCAAGGAAUUGUCUGUAGACCUCCAAGAGAGGAUUGUAUCGAGGCACAGAUCUGGGGAAGGGUACAGAAAAAUUUCUGCAGCAUUGAAGGUUCACAGAAGCAUGUAGUCUCUGUUACCCUUAAUGGAAGAAGUUUGAAACAACCAGGACUCUUCCUAGAGCUGGCCUCCUGGCCAAACUGAGCAGCUGAUGGAGAAGGGCCUUGGUUAGACUGGUGACCAAGAACCUGAUCGUUCAUUCCAUCUCCAUGAUCAUAUGUGGAGAUAGGAGAAACCUACAGAAGGACAAUCAUCACAGCAACACUCCACCGAUCUAGGCUUUGACAGUUGGCAAGACUCAAUCCUCUUCUCAGUGAAGAUACAUAAAAACACAUUUGCCAUUUGCAAAAAAGCACCUAAAGAACCCUCAGGCUACCUCAGGCAAGAUUUUAUGGUCUGAUAAACCUCAAUUUCAAGCAUCAUGUUUGAAGGAAACCAGCUCUGCUCAUCACCUGCAGAGUACCAUCCCAAAAGUAAAGUGUGCUGGUAGCAGCCUCAUGCUGUGGGGCUGUUUUUCAGUGACAGGGACUGAGGGACUCUUCAGAGUAGAAGAAAAGCUCAGUGCACCAAAAUAUUGAGAUAGAAUUAAAGGGAUACAGCACCCCAAAAUGAAAAUUUUGUCAUUAAUCACUUACCCCCAUGUCGUUCCAAACCCGUAAAAGCUCUGUUCAUCU